AAGAUGUAACGGGGCUAAACCAUGCACCGAAGCUGCGGCAGCGAACGUAUCACCCAAGACAACUUUGCGGAGUUGACGAUUGACGGAGCGAAGCGACGUCAAAGCGUUCAUUAAAGUCGAGUUGGCUUAGGGAUACGUUCGUUGGGUAGGGGAGCGUUCUGUAAGCCUGUGAAGGUGGCCUGUGAGGGUUGCUGGAGGUAUCAGAAGUGCGAAUGCUGACAUAAGUAACGAUAAAGCGGGUGAAAAGCCCGCUCGCCGGAAGACCAAGGGUUCCUGUCCAACGUUAAUCGGGGCAGGGUGAGUCGACCCCUAAGGCGAGGCCGAAAGGCGUAGUCGAUGGGAAACGGGUUAAUAUUCCCGUACUUGGUGUUACUGCGAAGGGGGGACGGAGAAGGCUAUGUUGGCCGGGCGACGGUUGUCCCGGUUUAAGCGUGUAGGUGUGUGUUCCAGGUAAAUCCGGUUCACUUUAACACUGAGGCGUGACGACGAGGCACUACGGUGCUGAAGCAACAAAUGCCCUGCUUCCAGGAAAAGCCUCUAAGCAUCAGGUAACAUCAAAUCGUACCCCAAACCGACACAGGUGGUCAGGUAGAGAAUACCAAGGCGCUUGAGAGAACUCGGGUGAAGGAACUAGGCAAAAUGGUGCCGUAACUUCGGGAGAAGGCACGCUGAUAUGUAGGUGAAGCGGUUUACCCGUGGAGCUGAAAUCAGUCGAAGAUACCAGCUGGCUGCAACUGUUUAUUAAAAACACAGCACUGUGCAAACACGAAAGUGGACGUAUACGGUGUGACGCCUGCCCGGUGCCGGAAGGUUAAUUGAUGGGGUCAGCGCAAGCGAAGCUCCUGAUCGAAGCCCCGGUAAACGGCGGCCGUAACUAUAACGGUCCUAAGGUAGCGAAAUUCCUUGUCGGGUAAGUUCCGACCUGCACGAAUGGCGUAAUGAUGGCCAGGCUGUCUCCACCCGAGACUCAGUGAAAUUGAACUCGCUGUGAAGAUGCAGUGUACCCGCGGCAAGACGGAAAGACCCCGUGAACCUUUACUAUAGCUUGACACUGAACAUUGAGCCUUGAUGUGUAGGAUAGGUGGGAGGCUUUGAAGCGUGGACGCCAGUCUGCGUGGAGCCGACCUUGAAAUACCACCCUUUAAUGUUUGAUGUUCUAACGUGGACCCGUAAUCCGGGUUGCGGACAGUGUCUGGUGGGUAGUUUGACUGGGGCGGUCUCCUCCUAAAGAGUAACGGAGGAGCACGAAGGUUGGCUAAUCCUGGUCGGACAUCAGGAGGUUAGUGCAAUGGCAUAAGCCAGCUUGACUGCGAGCGUGACGGCGCGAGCAGGUGCGAAAGCAGGUCAUAGUGAUCCGGUGGUUCUGAAUGGAAGGGCCAUCGCUCAACGGAUAAAAGGUACUCCGGGGAUAACAGGCUGAUACCGCCCAAGAGUUCAUAUCGACGGCGGUGUUUGGCACCUCGAUGUCGGCUCAUCACAUCCUGGGGCUGAAGUAGGUCCCAAGGGUAUGGCUGUUCGCCAUUUAAAGUGGUACGCGAGCUGGGUUUAGAACGUCGUGAGACAGUUCGGUCCCUAUCUGCCGUGGGCGCUGGAGAACUGAGGGGGGCUGCUCCUAGUACGAGAGGACCGGAGUGGACGCAUCACUGGUGUUCGGGUUGUCAUGCCAAUGGCACUGCCCGGUAGCUAAAUGCGGAAGAGAUAAGUGCUGAAAGCAUCUAAGCACGAAACUUGCCCCGA
rnacentral:rRNA from 1 species